CAUGUGUAAGUAUAAGCCCUUGUACGGCGAAACUGCGAAUGGCUCAUUAAAACAGUUAUCGUUUCUUUGAUAAUCACUUACUACGUGGAUAACUGUAGUAAUUCUAGAGCUAAUACAUGCGUAAAAGCCCGACUUCGCGGAAGGGCUGCGUUUAUUAGAUACAAAACCGACCGAGGUUCGCCUCGACACUGUUGGUGAUUCAUAAUAACCAAGCGAAUCGCAUAGGCUUGCCUGGCGAUAGAUCUUUCAAGUUUCUGACCUAUCAGCUAUCGACGGUAGGGUAUUGGCCUACCGUGGCUAUGACGGGUAACGGAGAAUUAGGGUUCGGUUCCGGAGAGGGAGCCUGUGAAACGGCUACCACAUCUAAGGAUGGCAGCAGGCGCGCAAAUUACCCAAUCCUGACACAGGGAGGUAGUGACAAGAAAUAACAAUGCAGGGCUUCACAGUCUUGCAAUUGGAAUGAGUAGAUUUUAAAUCUCUCUACGAGUAACAAUUGGAGGGCAAGUCUGGUGCCAGCAGCCGCGGUAAUUCCAGCUCCAAUAGCGUAUAUUAAAGUUGUUGCGGUUAAAAAGCUCGUAGUUGGAUUUCUGCCAAGGACGACCGACCCGCCUUCGGGUGUGUGUCUGUGUUGACUAAGGCAUCCUCCUAGUGACUCCAGUGCUUAACCGUAUUGGCUGUUCUAGGACUUUUACUUUGAGGAAUUUAGAGUGUUUCAAGCAGGCAUAUGCCUUGAAUAUAUUAGCAUGGAAUAAUAAUUUAGGACUUCGGGUCUAUUUUUGUUGGGUUUCUGGAACUGAAGUAAUGAUAAAUAGGGACAGUCGGGGGG
rnacentral:rRNA from 1 species